CAAUAGCGUAUAUUAAAGUUGUUGCGGUUAAAAAGCUCGUAGUUGGAUCUCGGCAGGCAGGGGGUGGUUCGCUCUUAGCGCUACUGCCCCAUUUGCCUAUGUGAUUGGCGGAGGUUUCGGGGUGCUCUUCGUUGAGUGACCCGGGGCGCCGUCAGGUUUACUUUGAAAAAAUUAGAGUGCUCAAAGCAGGCUUUUCACGCUUGAAUAUUCGUGCAUGGAAUAAUGGAAUAGGAACUCGUUUCUAUUUUGUUGGUUUUCGGAAAUCGAGUUAAUGAUUAAUAGGGACAAUUGGGGGCAUUAGUAUUCAGACGACAGAGGUGAAAUUCUUGGACCGUCUGAAGACUAACUACUGCGAAAGCAUUUGCCAAGAGUGUUUUCAUUAA
rnacentral:rRNA from 1 species